UGCUGGAUAAUGUGUGAAAUUGAUUUUUCCAUCUAGGUAAAAUCAUCACCAUUAAUAUUUUUUAACUUUUUAGGAGGAUUCAUCGAAUGACAGUAACAGGUAAAGUGAAAUGGUUCAAUAGUGACAAAGGAUUUGGUUUCAUCGAAGUACCAAACGGAGAUGAUGUUUUCGUACAUUUUUCCGCCAUUCAAGGAGAAGGUUUCAAAAGCCUUGAUGAAGGUCAAGAGGUUGAAUUUGAAAUCGAAGAAGGAAACCGCGGACCUCAAGCUAAAAACGUCGUAAAACUCUAAAGCAUAGAUACACAAACAUAAUUGAUAGGCAAUGCAAAAGGAUGCCGCCCAUAUCGGGCGGCAUCCUUU
rnacentral:misc_RNA from 1 species